rnacentral:rRNA from 1 species
GAACGCUGGCGGCGUGCCUAAUACAUGCAAGUCGAGCGAACGGACGAGAAGCUUGCUUUUCUGAUGUUAGCGGCGGACGGGUGAGUAACACGUGGAUAACCUACCUAUAAGACUGGGAUAACUUCGGGAAACCGGAGCUAAUAUCGGAUAAUAUUUUGAACCGCAUGGUUCAAAAGUGAAAGACGGUCUUGCUGUCACUUAUAGAUGGAUCCGCGCUGCAUUAGCUAGUUGGUAAGGUAACGGCUUACCAAGGCAACGAUGCAUAGCCGACCUGAGAGGGUGAUCGGCCACACUGGAACUGAGACACGGUCCAGACUCCUACGGGAGGCAGCAGUAGGGAAUCUUCCGCAAUGGGCGAAAGCCUGACGGAGCAACGCCGCGUGAGUGAUGAAGGUCUUCGGAUCGUAAAACUCUGUUAUUAGGGAAGAACAUAUGUGUAAGUAACUGUGCACAUCUUGACGGUACCUAAUCAGAAAGCCACGGCUAACUACGUG